UGCAGACUGGUCAAGUAAAGAACCUUAAUUUAUCGCUGAAGAUGGUCACCGUGGUGGUUUUUCUUCUGGCUUUUGUUGGAGCGGCAUCCUCAGAACUCCCACACAGACGGAGGUGUGACCCGGAGCAAGGACAAGAAACGCCAACUCUUUGCUCAAAUUACAAAAACAUUUUACAUCUCGAUAAUGUUCAAACAAAACUUGAAGAAAACCAAAUGCUGCUGCGAGAGAGGAUUGACGCUAUGGAAGGUAGGACCAGACUGCAGCUUGAUUCUGCAAGCGGCAACAUUAGUGCGCUUGAAAGGUUGGUGACAAAUGUUUCAAACGCACAAAAGGACCUAGAAAGGAUGGUGUCGCAGACUGAGAUGGAGUUGAGAGAUGCAAAGACAAAGCUGGAGGAACAGGAAGUUGACAUUGCCAGCCUCAAGAGAGAAGUUGGAGAACUGGUCAAACACGGGGAGAGAGUCGGGGGGGGGGGAAACAUCAGUGAGUUUGAGGAGAUACUUGAUACAACUGAGAGGCAAUUAAGGAAGAGAAACUUGAAAAUCUGGAGUCAGAAACUGGGGCACAGAAACUGCUGACUCUACACAAGAAGGAACUCUCCCACCUUAACUCGACAGCCCGGGAGCUUGAAGUCAAAGUCAAAGCCCUACUGAAUGCCACGGAGACGCAACUUGAAGCAAACCUGACGGAAAUACAAAAUGACAGCGGAGAACUCGGAACUGAAGGAAGUGAACUCUCAUUAGAGGUGAUGCGCCUUAAAGCAGAAGUCAAUGCCAACGUGGCCUUUUCUGCAACUAUAAUCGAAUACAACGAUACGUUCACUGGACCCGGCACAAACGGCACCAACAAUAUUCUCUUCUAUAACAGUCUUCACAAACGUUGGCUUCGCUUACAACUGUAAAACCGGCAUCUUCACUGCUCGACUGAAAGGCGUCUACCACUGUUCAUUCAUGACUUUUUGGCUACAACGGUCACACUUCAGGAGCCAUCCUGGUGAAGAACAGGAAUUGCCAAGUGAGCACCUGGGAAUUCACCGGCUCAGAUAACAGUGACACCACCAGCAACACGGUAAUCCUUGAGCUGAAUGUCGGAGAGACCGUCAACGUCAUCCUGUGGAAGGGUGGAAAAAUACAAAGGUGUCUUCAGUGGGUUCCUCAUCUUUCCAACAUUGUAGAUUUUAGAAUAGAAUGAGAUGCCGUU